GCUUGGCGCCUGGAGGUCGUCGGGCCGCCAUAGUGGUCAGUUGGACCUCCGGCUUGGCCUGUUCCUUCUGGUCGUCGUAGC
rnacentral:pre_miRNA from 1 species